GCAAGUCGAGCGAUUUUUAAAGCGUGGGUAACCAUGCUUUAAAGAUAGCGGCGGACGGGUGAGUAAUGCAUAGGAAUCUGCCUUUAGGCGGGGGACAACCCGGGGAAACCCGGGCUAAUACCGCAUAAUGUCUACGGACCAAAGUGGGGGACCGCAAGGCCUCACACCUAGAGAGGAGCCUAUGUCGGAUUAGCUUGUUGGUGAGGUAAAGGCUCACCAAGGCGAAGAUCCGUAGCUGGUUUGAGAGGAUGACC
rnacentral:rRNA from 1 species